rnacentral:lncRNA from 1 species
CAAGUGAUUAAGAGGAAUGAAAGCUUUGAAGAUAUAUUUGUGCAGAUGUUUUUAGCUGGCUUUGGAGUGCUUAAUUGCUGGCCCAUCUAUGAAGCCAUGUUAUUGAGAAGGGAUAAAGGAAGGAUGCCAUUAAAGAUAACUUUAUUAUCAACCUUCCUAGCAUGGCUUGUUUAUCUGAUAUCCUCUUCAGCCUUUUGAAAACUAGUAUUGUUUUGUAUCUUGAUUCUAGGACAAUGCUCUCCGGGUGGAGAUAGUAUCGUUUUGUGCAAUUCUUGUAUUGUAUCUUCAAGAUCAUACUACAAUACUUGAGUAUCGUCUCUUUUAUAUAUACAUUUUAAAUAAAUUAGGGUCAUUAUAUUUUUUUUCUUAUGUUCUGUUGGAUGUUAUGGAUAAAUAGAUGUUCAUAUUUGAUUUGAUUGAAUUUUGAAACGUACCAUAGGAGCGUUUCAAUUCAACCUUUCUCAAAGCAAUCUAUUUGUAUUCAUAUAAGCAGCGAGCAUGCUAUUAACUAUGUCAGCUGCGUUCAGUUUCAGACUCCAAUUACUAUCAAGUCACCGGGCAGAAAGACGUGGCCAUUCCUUUUAGCAGUGUUUACACCAUUUUAGAGUUUUGGUGUUGGGUUGGAGAUGAUAUCAUGCAUCUCUGCCUCUUUUAACACCUCUUCGACUGAUUUCCUUCUCAGACCCCCUCAUUUGCUUCUCUGGACUCUUUAAUUCAGUCUUUAAGAUUGCAAGGCAGUCUUCUACAGAGUCAGAAGUGCAAACCUUCAUAGAGAAGCUACAAACAAAGAACUAAUUCCAGUAACAGGUGUUCAAUAACUUGUGAAUUAAAUCUUAGAGAGUAAAGAAUGAACUCUCAAAAUGCAUCACAAGAAGUAGAAGCACUUUAAAAAAGCUGAGAAUGCUAACUUGUCUCUCACAACUUCUGAUUCUUUUCCAAACACUUUAUUAACUUAUUUAUUUCUAACGUCUACUCCACUUCUUUAAUUUAAUCAAGAAGUGACUUCUUUUAAGUUAACCCAAACGGCCCAAUAAUCUCUUAGAACGUCUCUCCAAGAAAUCUUGGUUAAAAUUCACUAAUACAUACCAUAAAUAAAAAUAGAGGCUAUGUACAAAACAAUUCAACUCCAAUGAGACCUUCCCCUUAUAUAUAAUUAUAGCCAACCUUUAUUGAUGUAGCAAGAUUUUACAUCAUUUAUUACUAUAUUAAAACAUUAUAUUAUAUUUACACAACUUGAAAUAAUAAUUAUACACUUUUUUAAAAUAUAGCCGAUCAAAAUAGUUAGUACCAUUAAAACACAAUAUUUUACAGGUUCCACAAAUUUUAUAUAAUAUCUUGCGAUCAAAUUUAACUAAUCAGUUACAGACUUAUAGUCAAUACUAUUAUACUAUUGUAGAUGCUAUUUAAUUAAUUAGUUAUAAUCAAUAGUAUUCUAGAUGCUAAAGUCCUGUUUACCAAGUAUUUUUUAACCAACACAAUUGCAGAUCCUCUUAUAAUUACAGUCUAUGAUUUGUUGGAAUUAGGAAUCGACGAUCACUUCAAGAUUUGGAAAUGUUAUACCCGCUCCAAUCUCCAAACGGAUACAAGCCGUCCCGAAUGAGGACUAGAGAUCUCUGCGGAGAUUCGAGAAAUUUGUCUUUUCUAAAAAAAAUUAUAUUAUAAUAUAUGAUCUUUGAUUAAAAUUAUUUUAGUAAGUUGUCAUAAUAUACAAUGUUUUUAGUUAUAUUUUGAGUACCAAUUCGAAUAAUACUCAUUUAUAAUAAAAAUAAAAGAGUAGAUUUAAUAUAAUUUGUUUGUAUUAUAAUAUGAAAUGAUUUAAUCAAUGUGAUGAAAGAGAUUAUUUAAAUUUUCAUAUAUAUAUAUAUAUAUAUAUAUAUAUAUAUAUAUUUAUCAUUAAUAUUUUGUAUAAUAUAAUAUACAUAAAUAUAUUCAUAUUAUAUAUGAAAAUCGGGAAAUUUCAAGACGGUUCGCGACCAGAAAAUAUUAAUUUUUGAAUCCGUCCCGAUCUCCGAAUUCUGGUAUAUAAUUUUUUUCCAAUCUCUAUCCCGUACUCGAGAGAAUCUCUUAUUUAUGAUUUCGUGCCGAACGGCCCGAACCUGAUAAACGAAAAAAUAGGUGGUCUUUUCUGGAAUCGAGCGGGACAGACUGGAUCGGGUCGGUCAGAUGGGACAGGGACACGUCCUCAGUUGACAUCAGGCUUAAAACUAGGGGUGUAAACAAACCAAACUGUUGGUGAGCUACUCGAGCUCGGCUCGUAAAAUAUUCGGAUUUGAUUCGGUAGUAAUCAAGCCGAGCUCGAGAUCGAGCUAUUUGGAUGUUUUACCGAGCUGAGCUCGAGCUUCAAAUUACUCGGCUCCUAAGGUUCGCGAGCCUUAUCGAGCCUCUACUAUUAUUUAAUCUUUUUUAUUAUAAAUAUAUUUUUACAAAUAUAUUUAAUAUUUUAUUUAUAAAUCAUAUAUUUAAUCGAAUCGAACUCGAGCCAAACCGAUCAUAUUUCGAGACGCUAUCAUUUUUUUGGUAGCUGAUUCCAUUCUGGCAUUUAUGUGGACAACACGGCAAGCAUUUCGCAUCUCGCCCAUCCGUCGCCAGGUAUUUCCCGAGAACCUGACAGCGGAUGAGAGUGAAUAUCCAGCUCUGGACGUGUUUGUAUGCACUGCUGAUCCAUUCAGGGAGCCACCAAUAGGUGUGGUGAACACCGUCUUGUCCCUGAUGGCUUACGAUUAUCCGAAGGAGAAAUUGUCAGUUUAUGUAUCGGAUGAUGGAGGAUCACAGCUCACACUGUUUGCUCUGAGGGAAGCUGCUGAGUUUGCUAAACAUUGGCUUCCGUACUGCAAGAAAGAGAACAUACUUGAUAGGUCGCCCGAAGCAUAUUUUACAUCACAGACUAAUUUUGGUUUCCCAGAGACCGGUCCUGCUGCUACAAAACAUGAUCAAAUUAAGGUACUUCUCAGCUACCCAUCUCAACAAUUUUUAACUUUUUUUGAAAUUUAUUUAUGAUGACUCACGGAUUGUUGAAGGUUAUGUACGAAAGGAUGAAAUUGAGGAUAAAUGAAGUUGUCGAAAGAGGGAGCAUCCAUGGAUAUGUGACAGAUGAAGAAGUGCGCGGAACUUUUGCUGUAUGGCAUAAUACACCUGGUUUCACUCCCAAAAAUCAUCCUACUAUUAUUCAGGUUCAUUCUUAGUCUGUUUUCUAAUUAAUAAUUUGAAUUUUAAAUUUGUACAGAAUCAUCUAAUAACUGAGCUAGAAUUUUUCAAUUAAAGACAGGAAAAAAGAAUAAUCGGAUUUACUAGGCUACAACGAAUCUAGCUUUUCUGAGUAGUUUCCUGAAGGCUAUCAAAUUAUUGAACUUGAAUCUCUUAUCUUUCAUAGUUAUUGUUAUUAGUACUUACUCCGUGCUGAAUAAACCUGUAGCAAAGUUUGAUCCCAACCCCGAUCCGUAGUAAAUCAGAAUAUAUUGCUUCAAUAUGGAAAACAGGAUGAGUAAUAGAUACUAGCAUAUUUAUAACUAUAAAAAUUAGUACCAAUUAUAGAACUAAUGAUGAGGAUCUUGCAGAUAAUCAUGGAGAGCGCCACUGAAAAGGAUGAGUCCGGUAACAGAAUGCCCAAUCUUGUGUAUGUGUCCAGAGAAAAGAAGAAGACUACACCCCACAACUACAAGGCUGGUGCGCUCAACGUUCUGGUAAUAAUGUUUAUAAUUGUGUUGAUCAUACACAUAUAUAGGUAAACAGAAAGUUAAUUUUCAUUUCUUGUUUAUUUCACAUAUUUAACAUAUUAAUGCAUAAUAAAGCUUCGAGUAUCAGCAACCAUGACAAAUGCACCGCUGGUGUUGACGCAAGACUGUGACAUGUUUUCAAAUGAUCCUAAGACACCACUCCGUGCACUCUGCUACUUUAUGGACCCUGGAAUGGACCCGAACUUGGCGUUGGUCCAGUUCCCUCAAAUUUUCCAUGGGAUUAACAAGGAUGAUAUAUAUAAUGCUGAACUUAAAGAAAUGCUUGUCAAUAAUAAUUUGGGAAUGGAUGGUUUAUUAGGACCACCUUAUAUAGGUUCUGGGGGGUUUUUUCGUCGACAAGCUUUGUUUGGAACUCCAGUAUCACAUAUACCUCCCCAGCCUUCAGAAAUUAGUCCUCAUCAUGUUGUUAACAAGUCAAUGCAGUCCGCAGAGAUUUUGGCUCUGGCACACCAUGUUGGAGGCUGUAACUUUGAGGUUCAAACCGAGUGGGGAUCAGAGGUCAGACACUUUGGUACAUUUAUUAAUAAAAUUCACAUAUUACUUCGAACCAAAAUAUUAAAUAUUUAUUCUCUAAUUGUCGCAGAUGGGAUUUAGGUAUGGCUCUUUAGUGGAGGAUUUUAACACAGGCUACAGAAUGCAAUGCCAAGGAUGGAGAUCUGUUCUCUGCAAUCCAAUAAGACCAGCAUUCUUAGGAAGUUCACCAAUAACACUCCAUGACAUGCUCAAUCAAUGCAAAAGGUGGUCCAUGGGUCUUCUUGAUAUCACUUUUUCCAGAUAUAACCCUCUUUUCUUUGGUGUGCGGUUCAUGAACCCUCUCCAAGCCUUCUGCUUUGGACACUAUGCGAUUUGGCCCAUUUGGUCGAUUCCUCUUAUUAUCUAUUCCUUCUUGCCUCAGCUCGCUCUAAUCAAUUCUUCACAUGCUAUUUUCCCAAAGGUAAGCUAAAAACUGCACUACUACAGGGUCGAUCAAGUUCAAAUUUUGUAACGUGAAGAGUUGGUACACAGUAUAAAUAGGUAUUCAUAGUAGUUUAAUUAUUUUUGCUCUAAUUAUGAUGUCAGGUGACAGAUCCUUGGCUGUUUUUCUUGUAUGUGUUUCUUUUCCUUGGUUCAUAUGUGCAACAUCUUCUCGAAUAUGUUACAUUUGGAUCUCCAGCCAAAAGGUGGUGGAACAGUCAGAGAGUGUGGAUGAUGAGAGCACUUUCAAGCUUUCCAUUUGCAUUGAUUGAAUAUAUACUAGAAUGCUGGGGAGUAUCAUCGUUUGGGUUCAAUGUGACUAGCAAGGUACUUGAUAGUGAACAAAGCAAACGUAACGCAGAAUGUAUGUUUGAAUUCGGAGUGCCUUCUCCACUUUUUGUUCCAAUAAAUAUGGCGGCAAUGAUCAACUUGUGGGCGUUUUUACAUGGGAUAAAACAAGUGAUUAAGAGGAAUGAAAGCUUUGAAGAUAUAUUUGUGCAGAUGUUUUUAGCUGGCUUUGGAGUGCUUAAUUGCUGGCCCAUCUAUGAAGCCAUGUUAUUGAGAAGGGAUAAAGGAAGGAUGCCAUUAAAGAUAACUUUAUUAUCAACCUUCCUAGCAUGGCUUGUUUAUCUGAUAUCCUCUUCAGCCUUUUGAAAACUAGUAUUGUUUUGUAUCUUGAUUCUAGGACAAUGCUCUCCGGGUGGAGAUAGUAUCGUUUUGUGCAAUUCUUGUAUUGUAUCUUCAAGAUCAUACUACAAUACUUGAGUAUCGUCUCUUUUAUAUAUACAUUUUAAAUAAAUUAGGGUCAUUAUAUUUUUUUUCUUAUGUUCUGUUGGAUGUUAUGGAUAAAUAGAUGUUCAUAUUUGAUUUGAUUGAAUUUUGAAACGUACCAUAGGAGCGUUUCAAUUCAACCUUUCUCAAAGCAAUCUAUUUGUAUUCAUAUAAGCAGCGAGCAUGCUAUUAACUAUGUCAGCUGCGUUCAGUUUCAGACUCCAAUUACUAUCAAGUCACCGGGCAGAAAGACGUGGCCAUUCCUUUUAGCAGUGUUUACACCAUUUUAGAGUUUUGGUGUUGGGUUGGAGAUGAUAUCAUGCAUCUCUGCCUCUUUUAACACCUCUUCGACUGAUUUCCUUCUCAGACCCCCUCAUUUGCUUCUCUGGACUCUUUAAUUCAGUCUUUAAGAUUGCAAGGCAGUCUUCUACAGAGUCAGAAGUGCAAACCUUCAUAGAGAAGCUACAAACAAAGAACUAAUUCCAGUAACAGGUGUUCAAUAACUUGUGAAUUAAAUCUUAGAGAGUAAAGAAUGAACUCUCAAAAUGCAUCACAAGAAGUAGAAGCACUUUAAAAAAGCUGAGAAUGCUAACUUGUCUCUCACAACUUCUGAUUCUUUUCCAAACACUUUAUUAACUUAUUUAUUUCUAACGUCUACUCCACUUCUUUAAUUUAAUCAAGAAGUGACUUCUUUUAAGUUAACCCAAACGGCCCAAUAAUCUCUUAGAACGUCUCUCCAAGAAAUCUUGGUUAAAAUUCACUAAUACAUACCAUAAAUAAAAAUAGAGGCUAUGUACAAAACAAUUCAACUCCAAUGAGACCUUCCCCUUAUAUAUAAUUAUAGCCAACCUUUAUUGAUGUAGCAAGAUUUUACAUCAUUUAUUACUAUAUUAAAACAUUAUAUUAUAUUUACACAACUUGAAAUAAUAAUUAUACACUUUUUUAAAAUAUAGCCGAUCAAAAUAGUUAGUACCAUUAAAACACAAUAUUUUACAGGUUCCACAAAUUUUAUAUAAUAUCUUGCGAUCAAAUUUAACUAAUCAGUUACAGACUUAUAGUCAAUACUAUUAUACUAUUGUAGAUGCUAUUUAAUUAAUUAGUUAUAAUCAAUAGUAUUCUAGAUGCUAAAGUCCUGUUUACCAAGUAUUUUUUAACCAACACAAUUGCAGAUCCUCUUAUAAUUACAGUCUAUGAUUUGUUGGAAUUAGGAAUCGACGAUCACUUCAAGAUUUGGAAAUGUUAUACCCGCUCCAAUCUCCAAACGGAUACAAGCCGUCCCGAAUGAGGACUAGAGAUCUCUGCGGAGAUUCGAGAAAUUUGUCUUUUCUAAAAAAAAUUAUAUUAUAAUAUAUGAUCUUUGAUUAAAAUUAUUUUAGUAAGUUGUCAUAAUAUACAAUGUUUUUAGUUAUAUUUUGAGUACCAAUUCGAAUAAUACUCAUUUAUAAUAAAAAUAAAAGAGUAGAUUUAAUAUAAUUUGUUUGUAUUAUAAUAUGAAAUGAUUUAAUCAAUGUGAUGAAAGAGAUUAUUUAAAUUUUCAUAUAUAUAUAUAUAUAUAUAUAUAUAUAUAUAUAUUUAUCAUUAAUAUUUUGUAUAAUAUAAUAUACAUAAAUAUAUUCAUAUUAUAUAUGAAAAUCGGGAAAUUUCAAGACGGUUCGCGACCAGAAAAUAUUAAUUUUUGAAUCCGUCCCGAUCUCCGAAUUCUGGUAUAUAAUUUUUUUCCAAUCUCUAUCCCGUACUCGAGAGAAUCUCUUAUUUAUGAUUUCGUGCCGAACGGCCCGAACCUGAUAAACGAAAAAAUAGGUGGUCUUUUCUGGAAUCGAGCGGGACAGACUGGAUCGGGUCGGUCAGAUGGGACAGGGACACGUCCUCAGUUGACAUCAGGCUUAAAACUAGGGGUGUAAACAAACCAAACUGUUGGUGAGCUACUCGAGCUCGGCUCGUAAAAUAUUCGGAUUUGAUUCGGUAGUAAUCAAGCCGAGCUCGAGAUCGAGCUAUUUGGAUGUUUUACCGAGCUGAGCUCGAGCUUCAAAUUACUCGGCUCCUAAGGUUCGCGAGCCUUAUCGAGCCUCUACUAUUAUUUAAUCUUUUUUAUUAUAAAUAUAUUUUUACAAAUAUAUUUAAUAUUUUAUUUAUAAAUCAUAUAUUUAAUCGAAUCGAACUCGAGCCAAACCGAUCAUAUUUCGAGUUUUUGUCAAUAUUUAGUGUCUCGAUUCGAGAUUCCGAGCUGAACUCGAGCCUAUCAAACUGUUUACGAGCCGAGUUUCGAACUUGAAAUUAAAGCCUCGGUCGAACUCGAACUCGAGCUCGAGCCCCGAACUUUUCAAUUGAGUUCGAGCCGAGCCUGACAGUGUUCUACUUGUCUCGGCUUGAUUACACCCCUACUCAGAACUCAGAAGAAAGCCAGUAUAAUAUGAUCGCCCACCACGUUUUUUUUCCCUGUCAUCAAUUGCUAGAGCUCAGUGCACCUGAAGCUCAACCAUAUAUGACCAUAUCAUAUUAAUGACUGUUGCAAUCAACCAUUUGUGAUCUUUGUCUGUACAGGGACAGCACUUGGAAAUAAUAAAUCCUCUUUUUCUUUUCUUUGUUUUCCUUCUUUUCCAAAUCAUAUAAAUCGUUUUUAUUAUCACUAACACAAUCAAAACAGACUGCUGCAAUAUCACAAUGUAAUAGUUGAACACCAGUAGCAAUAGCAACUACAAUUGUGUUAAAUUGAAGUAGGCCGAGGUCCUUACAUUCCCUAUAGGCAGACUAUUUCCGCCAACAUAAAAAGUCAAACUUAAUCAGAGAGAUCCAGAAUUCAAAUUUUAUUUUGUCGUAUCAGUAACAACUAGGGAGGUGUUUGGUUCAUGGUUAAUGAGCCCGGUUAACGGGAAUCGGAACCUAAGAGGGAGCAUCCAUGGAUAUGUGACAGAUGAAGAAGUGCGCGGAACUUUUGCUGUAUGGCAUAAUACACCUGGUUUCACUCCCAAAAAUCAUCCUACUAUUAUUCAGGUUCAUUCUUAGUCUGUUUUCUAAUUAAUAAUUUGAAUUUUAAAUUUGUACAGAAUCAUCUAAUAACUGAGCUAGAAUUUUUCAAUUAAAGACAGGAAAAAAGAAUAAUCGGAUUUACUAGGCUACAACGAAUCUAGCUUUUCUGAGUAGUUUCCUGAAGGCUAUCAAAUUAUUGAACUUGAAUCUCUUAUCUUUCAUAGUUAUUGUUAUUAGUACUUACUCCGUGCUGAAUAAACCUGUAGCAAAGUUUGAUCCCAACCCCGAUCCGUAGUAAAUCAGAAUAUAUUGCUUCAAUAUGGAAAACAGGAUGAGUAAUAGAUACUAGCAUAUUUAUAACUAUAAAAAUUAGUACCAAUUAUAGAACUAAUGAUGAGGAUCUUGCAGAUAAUCAUGGAGAGCGCCACUGAAAAGGAUGAGUCCGGUAACAGAAUGCCCAAUCUUGUGUAUGUGUCCAGAGAAAAGAAGAAGACUACACCCCACAACUACAAGGCUGGUGCGCUCAACGUUCUGGUAAUAAUGUUUAUAAUUGUGUUGAUCAUACACAUAUAUAGGUAAACAGAAAGUUAAUUUUCAUUUCUUGUUUAUUUCACAUAUUUAACAUAUUAAUGCAUAAUAAAGCUUCGAGUAUCAGCAACCAUGACAAAUGCACCGCUGGUGUUGACGCAAGACUGUGACAUGUUUUCAAAUGAUCCUAAGACACCACUCCGUGCACUCUGCUACUUUAUGGACCCUGGAAUGGACCCGAACUUGGCGUUGGUCCAGUUCCCUCAAAUUUUCCAUGGGAUUAACAAGGAUGAUAUAUAUAAUGCUGAACUUAAAGAAAUGCUUGUCAAUAAUAAUUUGGGAAUGGAUGGUUUAUUAGGACCACCUUAUAUAGGUUCUGGGGGGUUUUUUCGUCGACAAGCUUUGUUUGGAACUCCAGUAUCACAUAUACCUCCCCAGCCUUCAGAAAUUAGUCCUCAUCAUGUUGUUAACAAGUCAAUGCAGUCCGCAGAGAUUUUGGCUCUGGCACACCAUGUUGGAGGCUGUAACUUUGAGGUUCAAACCGAGUGGGGAUCAGAGGUCAGACACUUUGGUACAUUUAUUAAUAAAAUUCACAUAUUACUUCGAACCAAAAUAUUAAAUAUUUAUUCUCUAAUUGUCGCAGAUGGGAUUUAGGUAUGGCUCUUUAGUGGAGGAUUUUAACACAGGCUACAGAAUGCAAUGCCAAGGAUGGAGAUCUGUUCUCUGCAAUCCAAUAAGACCAGCAUUCUUAGGAAGUUCACCAAUAACACUCCAUGACAUGCUCAAUCAAUGCAAAAGGUGGUCCAUGGGUCUUCUUGAUAUCACUUUUUCCAGAUAUAACCCUCUUUUCUUUGGUGUGCGGUUCAUGAACCCUCUCCAAGCCUUCUGCUUUGGACACUAUGCGAUUUGGCCCAUUUGGUCGAUUCCUCUUAUUAUCUAUUCCUUCUUGCCUCAGCUCGCUCUAAUCAAUUCUUCACAUGCUAUUUUCCCAAAGGUAAGCUAAAAACUGCACUACUACAGGGUCGAUCAAGUUCAAAUUUUGUAACGUGAAGAGUUGGUACACAGUAUAAAUAGGUAUUCAUAGUAGUUUAAUUAUUUUUGCUCUAAUUAUGAUGUCAGGUGACAGAUCCUUGGCUGUUUUUCUUGUAUGUGUUUCUUUUCCUUGGUUCAUAUGUGCAACAUCUUCUCGAAUAUGUUACAUUUGGAUCUCCAGCCAAAAGGUGGUGGAACAGUCAGAGAGUGUGGAUGAUGAGAGCACUUUCAAGCUUUCCAUUUGCAUUGAUUGAAUAUAUACUAGAAUGCUGGGGAGUAUCAUCGUUUGGGUUCAAUGUGACUAGCAAGGUACUUGAUAGUGAACAAAGCAAACGUAACGCAGAAUGUAUGUUUGAAUUCGGAGUGCCUUCUCCACUUUUUGUUCCAAUAAAUAUGGCGGCAAUGAUCAACUUGUGGGCGUUUUUACAUGGGAUAAAACAAGUGAUUAAGAGGAAUGAAAGCUUUGAAGAUAUAUUUGUGCAGAUGUUUUUAGCUGGCUUUGGAGUGCUUAAUUGCUGGCCCAUCUAUGAAGCCAUGUUAUUGAGAAGGGAUAAAGGAAGGAUGCCAUUAAAGAUAACUUUAUUAUCAACCUUCCUAGCAUGGCUUGUUUAUCUGAUAUCCUCUUCAGCCUUUUGAAAACUAGUAUUGUUUU